CGAGCUUCCGUUGAAUGACGUGCUUGCACUGAUUUCAACAAUGAAGCGAGUGGCGAACUGGUGAGUAACACGUGGGGAAUCUGCCCAGAAGCAGGGGAUAACACUUGGAAACAGGUGCUAAUACCGUAUAACAACAAAAUCCGCAUGGAUUUUGUUUGAAAGGUGGCUUCGGCUAUCACUUCUGGAUGAUCCCGCGGCGUAUUAGUUAGUUGGUGAGGUAAAGGCCCACCAAGACGAUGAUACGUAGCCGACCUGAGAGGGUAAUCGGCCACAUUGGGACUGAGACACGGCCCAAACUCCUACGGGAGGCAGCAGUAGGGAAUCUUCCACAAUGGACGAAAGUCUGAUGGAGCAAUGCCGCGUGAGUGAAGAAGGGUUUCGGCUCGUAAAACUCUGUUGUUAAAGAAGAACACCUUUGAGAGUAACUGUUCAAGGGUUGACGGUAUUUAACCAGAAAGCCACGGCUAACUACGUGCCAGCAGCCGCGGUAAUACGUAGGUGGCAAGCGUUGUCCGGAUUUAUUGGGCGUAAAGCGAGCGCAGGCGGUUUUUUAAGUCUGAUGUGAAAGCCUUCGGCUUAACCGGAGAAGUGCAUCGGAAACUGGGAGACUUGAGUGCAGAAGAGGACAGUGGAACUCCAUGUGUAGCGGUGGAAUGCGUAGAUAUAUGGAAGAACACCAGUGGCGAAGGCGGCUGUCUAGUCUGUAACUGACGCUGAGGCUCGAAAGCAUGGGUAGCGAACAGGAUUAGAUACCCUGGUAGUCCAUGCCGUAAACGAUGAGUGCUAAGUGUUGGAGGGUUUCCGCCCUUCAGUGCUGCAGCUAACGCAUUAAGCACUCCGCC
rnacentral:rRNA from 2 species